CAGAGCCUGAAUCAGUGUGUGUGUUAGUGGAAGCGUCUGGAAAGGCGCGCGAUACAGGGUGACAGCCCCGUACACAAAAAUGCACAUGCUGUGAGCUCGAUGAGUAGGGCGGGACACGUGGUAUCCUGUCUGAAUAUGGGGGGACCAUCCUCCAAGGCUAAAUACUCCUGACUGACCGAUAGUGAACCAGUACCGUGAGGGAAAGGCGAAAAGAACCCCGGCGAGGGGAGUGAAAAAGAACCUGAAACCGUGUACGUACAAGCAGUGGGAGCACGCUUAGGCGUGUGACUGCGUACCUUUUGUAUAAUGGGUCAGCGACUUAUAUUCUGUAGCAAGGUUAACCGAAUAGGGGAGCCGAAGGGAAACCGAGUCUUAACUGGGCGUUAAGUUGCAGGGUAUAGACCCGAAACCCGGUGAUCUAGCCAUGGGCAGGUUGAAGGUUGGGUAACACUAACUGGAGGACCGAACCGACUAAUGUUGAAAAAUUAGCGGAUGACUUGUGGCUGGGGGUGAAAGGCCAAUCAAACCGGGAGAUAGCUGGUUCUCCCCGAAAGCUAUUUAGGUAGCGCCUCGUGAAUUCAUCUCCGGGGGUAGAGCACUGUUUCGGCAAGGGGGUCAUCCCGACUUACCAACCCGAUGCAAACUGCGAAUACCGGAGAAUGUUAUCACGGGAGACACACGGCGGGUGCUAACGUCCGUCGUGAAGAGGGAAACAACCCAGACCGCCAGCUAAGGUCCCAAAGUCAUGGUUAAGUGGGAAACGAUGUGGGAAGGCCCAGACAGCCAGGAUGUUGGCUUAGAAGCAGCCAUCAUUUAAAGAAAGCGUAAUAGCUCACUGGUCGAGUCGGCCUGCGCGGAAGAUGUAACGGGGCUAAACCAUGCAC
rnacentral:rRNA from 1 species